rnacentral:rRNA from 1 species
UACGUAGGGGGCAAGCGUUGUCCGGAAUCAUUGGGCGUAAAGCGCGCGUAGGCGGCCAGAUAAGUCCGGUGUGAAAGUCACAGGCUCAACCUGUGAAUGCCGCUGGAAACUGUCUGGCUUGAGUCCGGAAGGGGCGAGUGGAAUUCCUGGUGUAGCGGUGAAAUGCGCAGAUAUCAGGAGGAACACCAAUGGCGAAGGCAGCUCGCUGGAACGGUAUUGACGCUGAGGCGCGAAAGCGUGGGGAGCGAACAGG